CUAGCACCAUUUGAAAUCAGUG
rnacentral:ncRNA from 3 species